AACAAAAGCAAGACCAGUGAGUUUGGUUUCGUUUCCACCUGAAAAAUGCCCGCCACCGUUAAGCGCCCUUUGUGGAGCCUGUUGCUCCCGCAGACCUACACGAGCCGCGUGCACGCAUUGGCCUUUCACGCCCCCACUAUUGUAUUCAUGAUCGCAGUCUGCGCUAUCGUUUCCAAGCAGUCGUACUAUCGCUCGAGCCUCGCUGACGAGGACCCCAAGACGUACGACAGGAUUGAUCGCCGAGCCUACGUAGCCCUCCCAGAUGGUCGCAUGGCUUUGGUAUACCCUAUCAUCGACACGCAGACGAGCUUCACACGAACCGUCAUAUCUUUCCUCGAUGCAGUGAACCCUUUUCCAUAAUCAGGAUGCAAGAGGAGCACACGCGAACAAAAUAGCAACAACUGAUGCACGGUGCUCGAGCAGCAGGGUGUAAGAGGCUUGCGUAGAAUAACCAAUUAGGACUCUCUUUCACCGAUAUGAAGCUUAAAGGAGCGAAUAAGGUAUCCAGCGGGCUUUCGCUGUUUCUUGGCCUUCUUUCCUCAUUUAAGUUGUCCCUUCACAAUGGAGAUGGGGUAGUGCACGGUGAUUGCGCUGUUUGUAUCUUUUUUUUCCUCUCAUCUUGCGGAUGCGUGCUCCCCGUUUCUCUCG
rnacentral:misc_RNA from 1 species